rnacentral:rRNA from 2 species
UGGGGAAUAUUGGACAAUGGGCGCAAGCCUGAUCCAGCCAUGCCGCGUGUGUGAAGAAGGCCUUUUGGUUGUAAAGCACUUUAAGCGAGGAGGAGGCUACUUGGAUUAAUACUCUAGGAUAGUGGACGUUACUCGCAGAAUAAGCACCGGCUAACUCUGUGCCAGCAGCCGUGGUAAUACAGAGGGUGCGAGCGUUAAUCGGAUUUACUGGGCGUAAAGCGUGCGUAGGCGGCUUCUUAAGUCGGAUGUGAAAUCCCUGAGCUUAACUUAGGAAUUGCAUUCGAUACUGGGAAGCUAGAGUAUGGGAGAGGAUGGUAGAAUUCCAGGUGUAGCGGUGAAAUGCGUAGAGAUCUGGAGGAAUACCGAUGGCGAAGGCAGCCAUCUGGCCUAAUACUGACGCUGAGGUACGAAAGCAUGGGGAGCAAACAGG